UGUGGCGAUCUUGCCUGUGUGUAACUAAAUAAUUGUUAGCUUGUUAGCGGUUAACUUGUCCCGCUCCGCGAUCGUGUAAAUACUCGUUAUUUUGAAUGUGUGUAGCCUGCUAGGAAUCGCUUACGUAGCGCUAGCAGCCCUCGGGUUUAUGAUUUGCACCGUCAUGAAUCUGUCAUUAGUCAAUUAGCCAAUACUGUCGUUGUAUUCCCUGCCUGUCUCUGUUUUGCGUGUCUCGUGCUGCUGUUUCCCGCUGUAUGUAAAUUAUCCGACCUUUGUGUGAUGUGACGUUAAGGCUGUGUGAUUGGCUGCCCCGGCGCAACGGGACUAACCAAUCACGGCGAACGGGGUUUGACAAAAUCAGGCUUCUCCCAGCUAUGAUGGUCAGUCUACGAAUUACCGUUUUGAAGAGGUGUCACAAAUAAAGCGAAGCUCCCCGGGAGCGAUUCGAAAACAGCCAAGCCAGUCUCCGUCUCUGCUUCUUCGCGAAAUCGCCACAAUACUUAAGAUUAUUCUGGAAAUUAGUUAGCCCCGCCCACUCCCAAGGACUUGGUUGAGACUGUCUGUCGCACAGGAGAGAGUGCACAGCAAGAGGGGAGAACGGGAGAGAGAAAAAGACGAUCAGAAGUAGAAAAUCAUAAUUAUUAAUUUAAGCAGUUAACUUAAAGAGCAGCUCCUUAAAUGACCCAGGGACCAAAUAUUUUCCAGAUCGCACACUUCAAUUUCUUUCCUUGCGAUCUUGGCUGGGUUUUUUGGAUACCUGAGAAGAAACCUGUGAACCUAGGAUUCUCUCCCUAACGAGGGAGAUGGCGAGCUGACCAGCUUGAUCAACUUGAUUCAUCUUCAUCCAUUGAGGAAGAACCCCCUGAUACCCCUUGUUUCUCCCAACCCCACUCUGGUGUGGUAGGAUUGUGAUUGAGAAAUUACAUAAUUUUAUUUGAUACUUUAUUUUUUUUUAAAUAGGGUGCACUCAACCAACAAAACUGACUUGAAACUAACUAAAUUGAACUAAACCAGACUGAACAGAAGACAUUCAGAACUUAAUGGACAGUGAAUACAGUUACAACACUCAGGACAUUGAUAUGAAGACAAAUGAAUGUGGUUGAAUGUGAUAAGUAAAUGCUGGCUUUACAUGUUGUCAUUACACUUUCUUUAAUACAGUUCUAACCAUUUUGCACUUAC